GUUAUGUCUUGGUGUUGUUUUGGGAGGAUUGUUAUGUAUUGGUGUUGUUUUGGGAGGAUUGUUAUUUCUUGGUGUUGUUUUGGGAGGAUUGUUAUUUCUUGGUGUUGUUUUGGGAGGAUUGUUAUUUAUUGGUGUUGUUUUGGGAGGUUGUUAUGUCUUGGUGUUGUUUUGGGAGGAUUGUUAUGUAUUGGUGUUGUUUUGGGAGGUUGUUAUUUCUUGGUGUUGUUUUGGGAGGUUGUUAUUUCUUGGUGUUGUUUUGGGAGGAUUGUUAUUUCUUGGUGUUGUUUUGGGAGGUUGUUAUGUCUUGGUGUUGUUUUGCGAGGAUUGUUAUUUCU
ensembl:lncRNA